rnacentral:piRNA from 1 species
AGGCAUCCUCAAGAUGAAAGGUGUGACCCU